rnacentral:rRNA from 1 species
AUGACCUUUCUGCGCUACUCCUACGGUCAGCUCAUCUUCUAUGACAACAAUGGGUUCCAUAUUGUUAAUCCAUUCAGUGGCGCUAAGCUUGGCCCUCCUUCCCUACAGUCAAUUCAGUUCACUUGCAUCAGCUAUGUCACCUUAACUGCCCCUGUUGCAUCUGCUGACUCAUAUCUCCUUGUCGGUGCUGGAGCCUAUCUGUUCCUGUGGCGCAUCGGGAGCGAUUCUUGGACAAAACAGAGUCCUAAAGUUGGUCAUUUUUCGAUUGAACAAAAUGUGGCCUUCAAGGACAAGACAUAUGCCCUAGGGUCUUUCGGGUGGUUCUACAUCAUUCACUUGUCACCCAGUCUCAUUGUUGAGAAGUUUAAAGUUGUGUUCGAGGAAGAUAAAACCAAAGAUCUCUAUUCGGCAAAUGAAAAAGCAUGGCUAGUGGUGUGUGGUGACACGCUUCUCUUGAUCAAACUUGUGGAGGCGGGAAGACGGAUGCGCUCGGAGGCCUUCCAGUUCAUGGCCUUCAAGCUUGAGUCAUUGGACACCAUGACCAAGAAGGCAAGGUGGGUGAAAGUGAACAAGUUAGAUAACUGGGCCAUCUUUAUCAGCGUUGACGAGCGGUGCGAGGCGUUGCCGUGCAUGAACCCGGAGGGAUGGGGAGGAAGGAGCAACCACAUAUACUUCCCAAGUUAUCAGUCUGAAAAACCUUGGGCUGCAGUCCAACUACGGAAAAAAUGUUAUUACCAUUCGACACAGCUCUUCAACACUGGAAGACGUUACCUGAAAUUGGAGUCAACCUGGGUCUUCCCCACGCGUUUCCUUGUUACGUCCUGCGAUGAUCUUACGGCCGUGAGUGCGGUUGGUGGGAGGAUUCUACUAUGUUGCAGUGAUUCUACUAUGUUUCCUUGUUACCGUGAUUAG